rnacentral:sRNA from 1 species
AUGAACCCAUCGGAGAUGCAAAGAAAAGCGCCUCCACGGAGAUGGAAACACAGCAAUCGAGCACCAUCGACUCACAAGAUGAACAGAAUGGUGAUGUCAGAAGAAUAGAUGAAGUUGCCAUCCACCAAGAAGACAAAGCUGCUGACUUGGGCACAAUUAAAGAAGCUGACGCAGUUAGCUACAAAAUGUCUAGAGAACACAAAGUCUGCAGGUGUACCCAACAGCUCCAAAGAGACAGCGACCAUCGAGAACAGGCCAUGAUGAACGGGCCAUGAUGACGAUGGCGGUUUUGUUGAAAAGAAAAGGGGGAAAUGCGGGGAAAAGAGAGAUCAGACUGUUACUGUGUCCAUGUAGAAAGAAGUAGACAUAAGAGACUCCAUUUUGUUCUGUACUAAGAGAAAUUCUUCUGC